GACGAACGCUGGCGGCGUGCUUAACACAUGCAAGUCGAACGGAAAGGCCCUGCUUUUGUGGGGUGCUCGAGUGGCGAACGGGUGAGUAACACGUGAGUAACCUGCCCUUGACUUUGGGAUAACUUCAGGAAACUGGGGCUAAUACCGGAUAGGAGCUCCUGCUGCAUGGUGGGGGUUGGAAAGUUUCGGCGGUUGGGGAUGGACUCGCGGCUUAUCAGCUUGUUGGUGGGGUAGUGGCUUACCAAGGCUUUGACGGGUAGCCGGCCUGAGAGGGUGACCGGCCACAUUGGGACUGAGAUGCGGCCCAGACUCCUACGGGAGGCAGCAGUGGGGAAUAUUGCACAAUGGGCGGAAGACUGAUGCAGCAACGCCGCGUGCGGGAUGACGGCCUUCGGGUUGUAAACCGCUUUCGCCUGUGACGAAGCGUGAGUGACGGUAAUGGGUAAAGAAGCACCGGCUAACUACGUG
rnacentral:rRNA from 1 species